rnacentral:tRNA from 1 species
GGGGGUGUAGCUCAGCUGGUUAGAGCGCUGCCCUGUCACGGCAGAGGUCGCGGGUUCGAAUCCCGUCACUCCCGCCA